UACGUAGGGUGCAAGCGUUAAUCGGAAUUACUGGGCGUAAAGCGUGCGCAGGCGGUUUUGUAAGUCUGACGUGAAAUCCCCGGGCUCAACCUGGGAAUUGCGUUGGAGACUGCAAGGCUAGAAUCUGGCAGAGGGGGGUAGAAUUCCACGCGUAGCAGUGAAAUGCGUAGAGAUGUGGAGGAACACCGAUGGCGAAGGCAGCCCCCUGGGUCAAGAUUGACGCUCAUGCACGAAAGCGUGGGGAGCAAACAGG
rnacentral:rRNA from 1 species